rnacentral:rRNA from 1 species
UACAGAGGUCCCGAGCGUUGUUCGGAUUCACUGGGCGUAAAGGGUGCGCAGGUGGCCUGUCAAGUUUGAUGUGAAAGCCCCGGGCUUAACCCGGGAAUGGCAUUGAAUACUGAUGGGCUGGAGGAUUGGAGGGGGGACUGGAAUUCUUGGUGUAGCAGUGAAAUGCGUAGAUAUCAAGAGGAACACCAGUGGCGAAGGCGAGUCCCUGGACAAUACCUGACACUGAGGCACGAAAGCCAAGGGAGCAAACAGG